rnacentral:tRNA from 1 species
CGCUAGGAAGCUUGCAAAGCAUUUAGUCUUUUAAACUAAAAAAGAACCUACUAGUUCCCAAGCGA